CCUUCCUUCACUCGCCGUCUAGAUCGUUUGAUAACAUCUGGCAUGCACUUCAUAACCAUCUUCCAGAAUCUUGAUCCUUUAGUAGCAUCCACCUGAGAUAUAUGUUUGUCUUUGAUAUAUUUUCCCUAAAAAUUUUUGACCAAAGAGAUGUUUCAGUCAAAAUUUUCCAAGCAAAUUUCAUAUUUAGCAAUAGUUGCACUUCAUGUAGACUACGAAGUCCAGUACCGCCUUUUUUAAUAGGCAUACAAAUUUUGUCCCAUGCUACCCAUUUCCUCUUAGGCUUUCCAUCCGCAUAUCCCCAGAAGAAAUCACUAAAUACUCUAUUGAUGACUUUUAUAACCGAAGAAGGAGCUUAUAUACAAGAAAUCAGAUGCACAAGUAUGCUUGUGAGGACAUGUUUCAGAAGCAGCAGUCUAGCCCCCUUUAGAUAAGACUCUACUUUGCCAACCUGCCAAUCUCAUACGAAUUUUUUCUACCACUUCCUCAAAAUCUCGAGCUCUCAAUCUUCCUGUGAUUAUAGGAAUCCCUAAAUAUUUGAAAGGAAAUUUACCUUCAGUUAAUCCAGUGAGUCAUAAGAGCAUCCAUCUUCUUGACACGGUGAUCUGUUUAGAGAAAAGGAUGAAUGUUUUAUCAACACUUACAACCUAUCCCGACCGUUAUUUAUAUUUUCUGAAUACUUCCUUAAUCGCUCUUAACGACUUUUUGCCACCAUUCACAAAUAUCACGAUGUCAUCAGCGUACAGUAGAUGAGAAAUUAGGGGAGCCCCCCUUGGCAAGGAAAAAGGUCUUAUGCUUCCAUCUUCAUAUUUAGCUCUCAACAUUCUGGAUAAAACUUCUUCAACCACGAUAACGAGAUAUGGGGAUAGGGGAUUCCCUUGUCUCAAACCUCUUCCACCUUUGAAGAAACCUUUCAUAGUUCCAUUCAUCAUCACAGAAUACCAAGGAGAGGUUACACACUAUUUUACCAGAUCACAAAUCUUGGGCGAGAAACCAAAAGAUCUCAAAACGUGCAUAAGAAAAUCCCAAAUCAGUGUUGUCUUAUGCUUUGGCAAUAUCCACUUUAAGCACUACAUUUCCACCCCUUAUAGGCUAGUGAAGGUAAGGAAUCAUCUCUUGAGAUAGAGUAAUAUUAUCAAAAAUACUCCUUCCCGGAAUAAGAGCAAGCAUAGAAAUAAUUCUUGGUAGAAUUAUAACUAUUCUUUUAACCAGAAUCUUCGACCAUACCUUGUACAUUACUUAACAUAGACUGAUUGGUCUGAACUUGUCAAAACUCGAAGGGGAAGCUAUCUUCGAAAUUAGCACCACGUAGGAUGAUGAGUAAAAUCUUGAAAUAUCUGUACCUUAAAAGAAAUCGCACACUGCCUCCACAACAUCUUCACCCACAAUGUCCCAACAAGAUUUAUAGAAGCCAGAGCCAAAUCCAUCAGCCCCGGGCUACUGUCAAUUGGGAUAGAAAAAACUGCUUCUUUGACCUCCUAGGGAGUAAGAAGCCUUCCUAUUUCCUCAUUCUCUGCUUCUAAAACAGUUGGUUGGAUCCAGGCUAAUAAGUCUAGUUGGUCUCUUCUGGGUCUAGCUCCUAAUAAAAUUUGAAAAUAGUCAACCCCUCCGUGAUGGAUAGCCUUAGGAUUUUCAAGCAGUGACCCAUCUCUUAGUCUCAUCUCCUUGACCUUGUGAUAUGAUCCGGGAGUUGAGCCUGACGAAGGCAAGUGCAAGACGAGACCCGUUGAUAGUCGAUGGCGGACCAAUGACGCAAUCAAAGGCAAAGCAAGUAAAAGAAGUGAUGAGAUUGCUUGUUCAAGAAACCAUUGGUGGAACCAUGUUCGGGACUCAAAAUGGAGCAACUUUCAUGUUCGGGUCGAAGGCCGAAUCAAUUUGGAUUAAUUUGUUAUCAAAUGACGAAACUGGAGGCUGAAAACAAGCCUGUGCGACCACACAGGCUAAAACACCAUGCGACCGCAUGGAAAUACACUAUAUGGUCGCAUAGGCCGAAAAUUUGGCGAAUUUUCUAAUUUUGGCAAUUUUCCAUAUUUUGUUAGUUUUUGAUUCUUUUCCAUAUUUUGGGGAUUAUGAUCGACUUUUGCACGAUUUUUACCUAGUUUUUAGGUUUAGUAUAAAUAGGAGUUUCCAUUCAAUUUUUAAAAACUUUUGACAUUAUUGAUAUUUAAUUAAAAGUGAGGCGUAUUAUCUUCUCUUUAUCGUUCUUCAUCGAACAACUUCGAACUUAUCAAGUUUAACUUGUGGCGUUCAAACAACCGGGUUUAAUUCUUGGAUUGCGUGAUCAAGGGGUUUUUUGGUUCAACUUUCUUUUGAGUUAAUCCUAAACUCUUGGAUUAAUUUGGCUUUCUUGGGUUCGUCAAUCUCGUUGUAGGUUUCGUAGUCAACAUUGUUACGGAGUUCGCAUCAGUUGGUAUCAGAGCUUUGGCUCCAAAUUAAUUGAAGGUUAUAUCUUUUUUUUAUUUGUUUGAGUCGUUAAUUUUGUUUUCUUAGUUUCUUCUUCUAUUUUAAUUGUUCUUUCUUAGUUCUUCUUCGAUCUUGUUUUUCUUUUCGUCGUUUCAUUGAGUUGUUGGUAGUCUUCUUUCAUCAAGGAGUACAAAAAAAAGUUACUGUACAAUUGCUAAUCUUAGCCGAGGACAAGUGGAGAUGUCUAAUGCUAGGGGGCCGGGUAGGCGUGAAUCUAGGAGAGAAAGGCGAGAUGAGUAUCGUAGUGAUGAUGAUGAUUUUGAUGAAAAUGACUUUGAUAUGGGUCAAGCGAGGCAUAAGGGCGAUAGGAUGGAAAGACGGGAUAGAAAUAACUUGAGAGAUGAAGUAGAUGGAAAUUUGGGGAGUACUAAAAUGAUUAUUCUGCAAUUUAAAGGGAGAAGCAAUCCGAAAGCAUAUUUAGAGUUGGAAAGGAAGGUUGAGAUGAUUUUUGAGUGCUAUAAUUAUUCGGAGGAGAAAAAGGUAAAAUUGGCGGUGCUUGAAUUCGUGGAUUACGCGAUAUCUUGGUGGGAUCAAGUACUUACAUCACGACGUAGGGAUCGAGAAAGACCAAUUAGCACUUGGGAUGAAUUUAAGGUAUUGAUGAGAAGGAGGUUUGUUCCGAGUCACUAUUAUAGGGAAAUCCACCAAAACUUGCAAGGUUUGUACCAAGGAUCGAAAAGCGUAGAGGAUUAUCACAAGGAGAUGGAAAUUCUUAUGAUUCGGGCUAAUGUGGAGGAAGAUCGGGAAGCUACCAUGGCACGGUUCUUGAAUGGGUUAAAUCGGAACAUUGUAGAGUUGCAACACUAUGUGGAAAUCGAGGACAUGUUACAUGUGGCAAUGAAGGUCGAGAGGCAAUGAAGAGGAAGGGGACGUCUAGACAAUCGUUAGGUACUUCGACUCCUAAUCCAACAUGAAAAUCGAAGUGGGAUGACAACAACAAAAACGGGGCUGCACCUAGAGGUAAAAAUGAUUGGCAAAAGGACAAGGAUGAAAACGCUAGCAAACCAAUAUCAAAAUCGGAGGCACAACCGUCGCGCAAUCGGGACAUCAAAUGUUUUAGGUGUUUGGGAACGGGGCAUAUUGCUUUUCAAUGUCCAAACAAAUGGGUGAUGGUGUUACGGGAUAAUGGAGAGAUUGUGAGCAAUAGUGAUGGCGAGUUUGAUGACAUGCCGACGUUGGAGGCUGUUAGUGAAGAAGAAAAAGUUGAACUGCCGAUUGGGGAUCUACUAGUCACAAGGCGAGCUCUCACUACUCACGUCAAAGCGGAUGACUUGGAGUUGCAACGGGAGAACAUUUUCCACACUCGAUGUACGAUAUGUAGUGUUAUAAUUGAUGGUGGUAGUUGCACUAAUGUAGCUAGCGUAUCUCUUGUAGAAAAAUUGGGUUUAACAUUGUUGAGACACCCGAGACCUUAUAAACUACAAUGGUUGAAUGAGAGUGGCGAGGUGAGGGUGAAUCGAAGGGUGCUAAUUAAUUCGUCAAUUGGGAGUUAUAAGGAUGAGUUAGUGUGUGAUGUGGUGCCAAUGCAAGCGGGACAUAUUUUAUUGGGGCGACCAUGGCAAUACGAUAGGAAGACUAUGCAUGAUGGGUAUAAAAAUCGACAUAGUUUCAUUAAGGAUGGAAGGACCAUUACUCUUGUGCCAUUAACACAAGUGCAAGUCUAUGAGGACCAAUUAAAAUUGAGAAGUGAGGAAGAGAGGAGAGUCAAAGAGUUAGAAAAAAAGAGAGAAAGUGGUGAGUUAGAGAAGAAGAGAGAAAAUGUUGAGAUAGCCACUAGAGAGAAAAAAAGAGAGCAAGCACAAGAAAAAAAAGAAAGGGAGUGUUACGAGAGAAGAGAGAAAACACGAGCGAAUUUCUUUGCAAAAGAAAGUAAUUUGAGGAGGGCAGUAGUUGAGGGAAAAUAGAUGAUCUUGUUCGUUUAUAAGGAAUCACUCCUCAAUUUUGAGGAAACUAACCCACCCCUCCCUAGUUUGGCUAAGUCUUUAUUGCAGGAAUUCGAGGAUGUAUUUCCGAAGGAUGCACCAAGUGAAUUGCCGCCUAUUCAAGGCAUUGAACAUCAAAUUGACUUCAUACCCGGAGCUGUCAUUCCAAAUUGACCGGCUUAUCGAAAUAAUCCCGAUGAGACUAAGGAGCUUCAAAGUCAAGUGGAGGAGUUAAUGAGCAAAGGAUACAUGAGGGAAAGCAUGAGUCGUUGUGCGGUACCGAUUUUGCUUGUGCCAAAAAAGGAUGGAACAUGACGAAUGUGCGUGGAUUGUAGGGCUAUCAACAACAUAACGGUAAAGUAUCGUCACCCUAUACCUAGGUUAGAUGACAUGCUUGAUGAAUUACAUGGUGCUUGCAUAUUUUCUAAAAUUGAUUUAAAAAGCGGGUGUCAUCAAAUUCGUAUGCGGGAGGAUGAUGAAUGGAAAACGGCUUUUAAAACUAAAUAUGGUUUAUAUGAAUGGUUGGUUAUGCCGUUUGGACUCACAAAUGCACCUAGAACUUUUAUGGGUUUAAUGAAUCAUGUUUUACGUGCUUUUAUAGGAAAAUUUGUUGUGGUUUAUUUUGACGACAUCUUAAUCUAUAGCAAAGACCUAGGAGAGCAUUUGGAACAUUUAAAGUGUGUGUUAAUUGUUUUAAGGAAAGAACAACUCUAUGCUAAUCUUAAGAAAUACACGUUUUGUGUGGAUAGAGUUAUUUUUCUUAGUUUUGUGGUUAGUGCUAAUGGGGUAGAAGUAGAUGAUGAAAAGAUAAAAGCUAUUAGAGAUUGGCCGAAACCUAAAAGCAUAAAGGAAGUUAGGAGUUUUCAUGGUUUGACUAGUUUUUAUAGGCGUUUUGUGAAGGAUUUUAGCACUAUCACCGCACCGCUCACGGAAGUACUUAAAAAGAGUGUAGAUUUUUAUUGGAGUGAUGAACAGGAACUUGAAUUUAAUACUAUUAAAGGUAGAUUGUGUGAAGCACCUGUUUUGGCAUUACCUAACUUUGAUAAAACAUUCGAGAUUGAAUGUGAUGAAUCAGGAAUAGGGAUUGGGGCAGUUUUAAUGCAGGAUCGGAGGCCUAUUGCAUACUUUAGCGAGAAAUUGAGUGGAGUGGCUUUAAAUUAUCCUACAUACGACAAAGAACUUUAUGCACUUGCUCGAGUUUUGGAGACUUGGCAACAUUAUCUAUGGCCGAAAGAGUUCGUAAUACACACCGAUCAUGAGUCACUAAAGCACUUGCGGGGACAAGAUAAAUUGAACAAGAGGCAUGCACGGUGGAUGGAAUUCAUUGAGACCUUUCCAUACGUCAUUCGGUAUAAACAAGGUAAGGAAAAUGUGGUGGCGGAUGCGUUGUCGCGAAGGUACGUAUUGCUAACUACUCUUGAUUCUAAGCUACUUGGAUUUGAGCAUAUUAAGAAAUUGUAUGAAAAAAAUGUUGAAUUUUCGGAUAUUUAUUUGUCAUGCAUAAAAGGGCGGUUGAUAGAUUCUUUAGGCAUGAGGGGUAUUUAUUUCGGGAAAAUAGGUUAUGUGUUCCUAAUUGUUCUAUUCGGGAGUUGUUAGUAAGGGAAGCACAUAGUGGUGGAUUGAUGGAACACUUUGGGGUUCAAAAGACUUUAGUUGUAUUGAAGGAGCAUUUUUACUGGCCUAAGAUGAAAAGUGAUGUCGAGCAAAUUUAUAGUCGAUGCAUAGGUUGUAAAAGGGCUAAGUCUAAGGUUUUACCUCAAGGUUUGUACAUACCUUUACCUACACCUAGUGAGCCUGGGGUUGAUAUCUCGAUGGACUUUAUUUUGGGUUUACCUAGGACUAAGAGAGGUCGGGAUUCUAUUUUUGUGGUUAUAGAUAGGUUCAGCAAAAUGACACAUUUUAUACCAUGUCACAAAACUGAUGAUGCCACGAACAUUGCUGACUUAUUCUUUAAAAUGAUUGUGCGUUUACAUGGGGUUCUUAGAAGCAGAGUGUCGGAUCGGGAUGUCAAAUUUUUGAGUCACUUUUGGAGAGUUUUGUGGGAUAAGUUAGGCACUAAGUUACUAUUGUUCACAACUUGUCACCCACAAAUGGAUGGGCAAACCGAGGUGGUGAAUAGGACUAUGACACAAUUGUUAUGUACAGUAAUCAAUAAAAAUUUGAAUAGUUGGGAGGAGUGUCUACCAUUUGUUGAAUUUGCAUACAAUCGAGCUGUUCACUCUACUACAUCAUAUUCUCCAUUUGAAAUUGUAUAUGGUUUUAGUCCACUAACUCUUUUGGAUUUAAUUCCUUUACCUGUGAAUGAACAUGGUAAUUUAGAGGGCAAAAAGAAGGCGAAAUUGGUUAAAUCUCUCCAUGAAAAGGUAAAACCGCAAAUUGAAAACAAAAGUAAGUUGGUUGCGUCGCAGGCAAACAAAGGUAGGAAGCGCGUGACAUUCGAACCAGGAGAUUGGGUUUGGGUGCACCUUAGGAAGGAGCGGUUUCCGGAGCAAAGGAAGUCCAAGUUGCAACCGAGGGGCGAUGGACCAUUUCAAGUUAUUGAAAAGAUAAAUGAUAAUGCAUACAAGUUGGACCUUCCAGGUGAGUAUAAUGUUUUGACUACUUUUAAUGUAUCUAAUCUCUCUCUGCUUGAUGCAGGUUUAGAUUCGAGGACGAAUUCUUUUGAAGAGGGAGGGGAUGAUAUGACCCGGGAGUGCGAGACGAGACCCGUUGAUAGUCGAUGGUGGACCAAUGACGCGAUCAAAGGCAAAGCAAGUGAAACAAGCGAUGAGAUUGCUCAUUCAAGAAACCAUUGAUGGAACCAUGUUCGGGACUCAAAAUGGAGUAACUUUCAUGUUCGGGUCGAAUGUCGAAUCAACUUGGAUCAAUUUGUUAUCAAACGACGAAACCGGAGGCUUUAAACGAGCCUAUGCGACCGCACAGGCUAAAAUACCAUGCGACCGCAUAGGUGCUUACCGAAACUUAAAGGAGCCAACCGGAUUGAACCAUGCGACCGCAUGCCAAAAAUUUGGCGAAUUUUCUAAUUUUGGCAAUUUUCCAUAUUUUUUUAGUUUUUGAUUCUUUUCCAUAUUUUGGGGAUUAUGAUCGACUUUUGCACGAUUUUUACCUAGUUUUUAAGUUUAGUAUAAAUAGGAGUUUCCAUUCAAUUGUUAAAAACUUUUGACAUUAUUGAUAUUGAUAUAAAAGUGAG
rnacentral:lncRNA from 1 species